rnacentral:rRNA from 1 species
AUGAACGCUGGCGGCGUGGAUAAGGCAUGCAAGUCGAGUGGGUUUAGACCCACGGCGAACGGGUUAGUAACGCGUACGUACCUACCUUAAACUCGGGGAUAACUGGUCGAAAGGCCUGAUAAUACCCGAUAGUCUUACAUUUGCCACGGCAUUUGUAAGUAAAGCUUCGGCGGUUUAAGACGGGCGUGCGUCCUAUCAGCUAGUUGGUGAGGUAAUGGCUCACCAAGGCGAUGACGGGUAGGGGGCGUGAGAGCGCGACCCCCAACACUGGGACUGAGACACUGCCCAGACUCCUACGGGAGGCUGCAGUCAAGAACCUUCCCCAAUGGGCGAAAGCCUGAGGGAGCGACGCCGCGUGCAGGAUGAAGCCUUACGGGGUGUAAACUGCUUUUCCCUCCGAUGAAGACAAGUAUGGUUCGCCCAGCUUGUUUGACACUAGGAGGGGAAUAAGAGAUUGCUAAUUGCGU